CGUAGCAGCGGCGCAAGCCGCGUAGCUUUUUGAUUUGCCUUUGAAAAGCAAGAUCACAAGCUACGCGGCUUGCGCCGCUGCCACA
rnacentral:misc_RNA from 1 species